UACGUAGGAGGCAAGCGUUGUCCGGAAUUACUGGGUGUAAAGCGCGCGUAGGUGGGAGGCCAAGUCUGUGGUGAAAUCGCCCGGCUCAACUGGGCGGGGUCCAUGGAAACUGGUCACCUGGAGGACGGUAGAGGCGAGUGGAAUUCCCGGUGUAGUGGUGAAAUGCGUAGAGAUCGGGAGGAACACCAGUGGCGAAGGCGGCUCGCUGGGCCGGUCCUGACACUGAUGCGCGAAGGCGUGGGGAGCGAACGGG
rnacentral:rRNA from 1 species